rnacentral:rRNA from 2 species
AGCGCACACGGUGGAUGCCUUGGCGGUCAGAGGCGAUGAAGGACGUGGCAGCCUGCGAAAAGUAUCGGGGAGCUGGCAACAAGCUUUGAUCCGGUAAUGUCCGAAUGGGGAAACCCACCCGCUUGCGGGUAUCCUGCAGUGAAUACAUAGCUGCUGGAAGCGAACCUGGUGAACUGAAAUAUCUAAGUAACCAGAGGAAAAGAAAUCAACCGAGAUUCCGUAAGUAGCGACGAGCGAACGCGGACUAGCCCUUAAGCUGGAUUGGUUCUAGGAAAACGCUCUGGAAAGAGCGGCCAUAGAAGGUGAUAGCCCUGUAUCUGAAAGGGCCAUUCCAGUGAAGACGAGUAGGGCGGGGCACGUGAAACCCUGUCUGAACAUGGGGGGACCAUCCUCCAAGGCUAAAUACUACUGACCGACCGAUAGUGAACCAGUACCGUGAGGGAAAGGCGAAAAGAACCCCGGAGAGGGGAGUGAAAUAGAACCUGAAACCGUGUGCGUACAAGCAGUAGGAGCUCCGCAAGGAGUGACUGCGUACCUUUUGUAUAAUGGGUCAGCGACUUACUGUUCGUGGCAAGCUUAACCGUAUAGGGGAGGCGAAGGGAAACCGAGUCUGAUAAGGGCGCAUAGUCGCGGGCAGUAGACCCGAAACCGGGUGAUCUAGUCAUGCCCAGGGUGAAGGUGCGGUAACACGCACUGGAGGCCCGAACCCACUCCCGUUGCAAAGGUAGGGGAUGAGGUGUGAUUAGGAGUGAAAAGCUAAUCGAACCCGGAGAUAGCUGGUUCUCCUCGAAAGCUAUUUAGGUAGCGCCUCAUAUGUAUCCUCUCGGGGGUAGAGCACUGUUAUGGCUAGGGGGUCAUCGCGACUUACCAAACCAUUGCAAACUCCGAAUACCGAGACGGACUGUAUGGGAGACACACGGCGGGUGCUAACGUCCGUCGUGAAAAGGGAAACAACCCAGACCCACAGCUAAGGUCCCAAAUUCACUGCUAAGUGGAAAACCAUGUGGAAAGGCACAGACAGCCAGGAGGUUGGCUUAGAAGCAGCCACCCUUUAAAGAAAGCGUAAUAGCUCACUGGUCGAGUCGGUCUGCGGGGAAGAUUUAACGGGGCUAAGCAGUGAACCGAAGCUUGGGGUGCAUAACUUUGUUAUGCGCGGUAGAGGAGCGUUCCGUAAGCCGUUGAAGGUGGAUUGAGAAGUCUGCUGGAGGUAUCGGAAGUGCGAAUGCUGACAUGAGUAACGAUAAUGCGGGUGAAAAACCCGCACGCCGAAAGCCCAAGGUUUCCUUGCGCAACGUUAAUCGGCGCAGGGUGAGUCGGCCCCUAAGGCGAGGACGAAAGUCGUAGUCGAUGGGAAGCAGGUUAAUAUUCCUGCACCUCGCGUAAGUGCGAUGGAGGGACGGAGAAGGUUAGGUGUACCAGGCGUUGGUUGUCCUGGGGAAAGGCGGUAGGUUUGGAUCUUUGGCAAAUCCGGGAUCCUUUAAGACCGAGCACCGAGACGAGCCUUUAUGGCGAAGUCACUGAUACCACGCUUCCAGGAAAAGCUCCUAAGCUUCAGCUUACGCAGACCGUACCGUAAACCGACACAGGUGGGUAGGAUGAGAAUUCUCAGGCGCUUGAGAGAACUCGGGUGAAGGAACUAGGCAACAUGGCACCGUAACUUCGGGAGAAGGUGCACCCUUUUUGGUGGCUCGUGCGAGCUAUAGCUGAAGAGGGUCGCAGUAACCAGGCCGCUGCGACUGUUUAUCAAAAACACAGCACUCUGCAAACACGAAAGUGGACGUAUAGGGUGUGACGCCUGCCCGGUGCUGGAAGGUUAAUUGAUGGGGUCAGCCGCAAGGCGAAGCUCUUGAUCGAAGCCCCAGUAAACGGCGGCCGUAACUAUAACGGUCCUAAGGUAGCGAAAUUCCUUGUCGGGUAAGUUCCGACCUGCACGAAUGGCGUAACGACAGCGGCGCUGUCUCCACCCGAGACUCAGUGAAAUUGAAAUCGCUGUGAAGAUGCAGCGUUCCCGUGGCAAGACGGAAAGACCCCGUGAACCUUUACUAUAGCUUUACACUGAACGUUGAGUUCGUCUGUGUAGGAUAGGUGGGAGGCUAUGAAACCAUGGCGCUAGCUGUGGCGGAGCCAUCCUUGAAAUACCACCCUGUCGUGCUUGACGUUCUAACCUGGGCCCAUUAUCUGGGUCGGGGACCGUGUAUGGUGGGUAGUUUGACUGGGGCGGUCUCCUCCUAAAGAGUAACGGAGGAGCUCGAAGGUACGCUCAGCGCGGUCGGACAUCGCGCACUGUGUGCAAAGGCAUAAGCGUGCUUGACUGCAAGAUCGACGGAUCAAGCAGGUAGGAAACUAGGACUUAGUGAUCCGGUGGUUCUGUAUGGAAGGGCCAUCGCUCAACGGAUAAAAGGUACUCCGGGGAUAACAGGCUGAUACCGCCCAAGAGUUCAUAUCGACGGCGGUGUUUGGCACCUCGAUGUCGGCUCAUCACAUCCUGGGGCUGUAGUCGGUCCCAAGGGUAUGGCUGUUCGCCAUUUAAAGUGGUACGCGAGCUGGGUUCAGAACGUCGUGAGACAGUUCGGUCCCUAUCUGCCAUGGGCGUUGGAGAUUUGAGAGGGGCUGCUCCUAGUACGAGAGGACCGGAGUGGACGAACCUCUGGUGUUCCGGUUGUCACGCCAGUGGCAUUGCCGGGUAGCUAUGUUCGGAAGCGAUAACCGCUGAAAGCAUCUAAGCGGGAAGCGCGCCUCAAGAUGAGAUCUCCCGGGGCACAAGCCCCCUGAAGGAACCAUGUAGACUACGUGGUUGA